ACAAAAGGAGCAACAGAGAUCUCU
rnacentral:piRNA from 1 species